ACUUCCGUCCAGACCGGAACCCAAGAUGGCUGCGCUCUUGCUGAGGUGACUUUAGUGUGGGACUGGGAGUUGGUGUCCGCGGCCCUACGGAGAUCUGAACUGGCCCCUCACGUUUUGCUGAUAACUGUUUAUCCUGUGCCUAGGCAGAGAAAGGACCCAUGGGUGUGGAGGCCAAGCGCUGGGGGAUCCUAGAGACCCCUUUUCCUGUCCCCCCCAGCCGCCCCGGUGCGCUCCGUAGGGCUUCGGGGUCACUGACUUCGUAUCGAGGGGCGCUCGGCUCUCGCCCCUUCUGUUUUCCCCACCUCCUCUAGUACUUCUAACGCAAAUUGCUCUCGGGCCUGCACCCAGAGCCGAGCUCUGAGAAAAUAACUUCAAGGUCAGCCACCCAUGGGUCCUACGAUUUCGAGAGCGUAUUUAGACAUUUAGCUUGGGAGAGAGAGAUCUUGGUGUAUUUUGCCUUUGCUUCGAAUGCCUUCAAACACUAACUGCUCCCGCCACACGUUAGUCGUCAUUGCCUCCGAGCCCACUUUAGCCCUCAGCUCUGUAUCAGAAAUGCUGUUCCUUUGGGAACCACAGCCAAAGAAGAGAUGGAGCGGUUCUGGAAUAAGAAUAUAGGUUCAAACCGUCCUCUGUCUCCCCACAUCACUAUCUAC
rnacentral:sRNA from 1 species